rnacentral:rRNA from 1 species
GAUCAUGGCUCAGAUUGAACGCUGGCGGCAGGCCUAACACAUGCAAGUCGAACGGUAACAGGAAGAAGCUUGCUUCUUUGCUGACGAGUGGCGGACGGGUGAGUAAUGUCUGGGAAACUGCCUGAUGGAGGGGGAUAACUACUGGAAACGGUAGCUAAUACCGCAUAACGUCGCAAGACCAAAAAGGGGGACCUUCGGGCCUCUUGCCAUCGGAUGUGCCCAGAUGGGAUUAGCUAGUAGGUGGGGUAACGGCUCACCUAGGCGACGAUCCCUAGCUGGUCUGAGAGGAUGACCAGCCACACUGGAACUGAGACACGGUCCAGACUCCUACGGGAGGCAGCAGUGGGGAAUAUUGCACAAUGGGCGCAAGCCUGAUGCAGCCAUGCCGCGUGUAUGAAGAAGGCCUUCGGGUUGUAAAGUACUUUCAGCGGGGAGGAAGGGAGUAAAGUUAAUACCUUUGCUCAUUGACGUUACCCGCAGAAGAAGCACCGGCUAACUCCGUG